rnacentral:rRNA from 1 species
UACGUAGGGUGCGAGCGUUAAUCGGAAUUACUGGGCGUAAAGCGCGUGUAGGCGGGUUUCCAAGUCAGAUGUGAAAUCCCCGGGCUCAACCCGGGAACUGCAUUUGAAACUGGGAGUCUUGAGUAUCGGAGAGGAAAGCGGAAUUCCUGGUGUAGAGGUGAAAUUCGUAGAUAUCAGGAGGAACACCGGUGGCGAAGGCGGCUUUCUGGACGAUAACUGACGCUGAGACGCGAAAGCGUGGGGAGCAAACAGG